CCUACGGGAGGCAGCAGUGAGGAAUAUUGGUCAAUGGACGAGAGUCUGAACCAGCCAAGUAGCGUGAAGGAUGACUUCCCUAUGGGUUGUAACCUUCUUUUAUAUGGGAAUAAAAUGUUCCACGUGUGGGAUUUUGUAUGUACCAUAUGAAUAAGGAUCGGCUAACUCCGUGCCAGCAGCCGCGGUAAUACGGAGGCUCCGAGCGUUAUCCGGAUUUAGUGGGUUUAAAGGGAGAGUAGGUGGAGUGGUAAGUCAGUUGUGAAAGUUUGCGGCUCAACCGUAAAAUUGCAGUUGAAACUGGCAGUCGUGAGUACAGUAGAGGUGGGCGGAAUUCGUGGUGUAGCGGUGAAAUGCUUAGAUAGCACGAAGAACUCCGAUUGCGAAGGCAGUUCACUGGACUGCAACUGACACUGAGGCUCGAAAGUGUGGGUAUCAAACAGGAUUAGAUACCCUUGUAGUC
rnacentral:rRNA from 1 species